CAUCGACAUCAAUUUCUGAUGUCUAAGUUUCGUUUUGGAACACUGCGCAAAUUUGGUAAAAUCAAGCCUAAAACCGUGGUUGGAGUUGUGUCAUUCAGUCAAUUUCGCACUGUUUUUUAAUUUAUGAUCAUGCAUUCAUUACCCGCUGGUGAAUUUCUACAAAGUAAAUACAAUGUUGAAAGAGAUCACUUAGUGGGUAGUGCUAAAUUCUAAUCAAUCAUCUAUUCUAAUGAUAUUAUUUAAACUGUUUAUUGACAGGUUGUCAAACCUUAUCGAACUGAUGGAUGUAUAAAUUUAUUAGUAUUAUGCAGCGAUCGGCACGGAAUGCAAUAACAUUUAAUUAAAAUUUAACAUUGUAUGCGGCUUACCGAUAUGUGUGUGACAACUGCUGUCCUACGACGUACGUGUGUUGACAGAGGCUGAGCAGACCUAUUUCCUAUGCCCGUUUAAUGGAACACUGCCAACCGUUGGUAUAAUGCUUUAAAAUUUGAUGAAAUGGAGACAUCUUUAUAUGAAAAUAUUUACCCAUGUUUUAAAAUGAUGGAACAUUGCACUUCCAGCCAUUGUAUCGCAUUGAAAAGCAAUUGAGAUCGAGGCAAAUGUAAGCACUCGAUGGAAGGACUCCGCUUUAUGUAUAUAUAUACGUGUAUAUAUAUAGUUCCUGGCAAUUAACGUUAGCGAUUAUGACACUGAUGUUAGAAUGGGUGCAAAACUGAUGGGUAAAAUCCCGCAGGAACCCCAGCCCGCAUCCGAGGGACUAAUUAAAGAGCCGGGGAGCUCCGGAGGAUGAAGAACCUUGAACUGGAGAACUGAAGAACUGGAAUCGAAGUGAGAGAACGCCAGAAAUGCGCCAGAAAGUUGCGACGACUUCCCAGACACAGAUGCAGACACAAUCCCAAACUCCCAGCACUUUUCGGCCACGCUUGGCAUAUUAAAAAUAUGUAUAAAGCACAAACUUUUGGCCGCCUCUGUCGUACUUUCACACUUUGCCUGAUUAAAACGCCGCCAAGAAAAGUCGAGGAAAAGCCAAGCCGAAGGAAAUGAAAGCGAGUGCGUUGAGUUGGAGGUUGGGCGGUUGGUAAGUUGGAAAAUGGGGGUGUGGCAAAGUUUUUGGCACUGCCAGCGGUAGCGGCAAAAGGCUUUAACUACAUUGCAAAAAGCAGAAGCAGAGGCAGAAGCCAGAGCCAAACAGCCGGUGUCCUUGAAAAAGUCUCGCAGGACGCAGGACUCGGGACGCAGAACUGGCCUAUGGAAUCUCCGUGUUUAUGUACCGACAACUUUCCGCUUUCAUUUCCAUAAAAAUGCGUUUGCUAAUUUCAUAACUAAGUCAGAAAGUGCGGGGAUAAAAUGAUUGCACUGAAAGAAACUGGAAAGAAUU